UUUUCAAUAUGGAUAUGGAGUCUGAUAAACUAAAAUAUUUUGUGCUGUCAUCAGCUUCUACUAGCCUGCAUUAGGAGACUGGAGUUAAAUAACAGUACCAAAUUU
rfam:Cucumis melo, WGS project CAJI01000000 data, contig: 11299